rnacentral:rRNA from 1 species
UAAGCUAAUACCGGAUAAUAUAUUGAACCGCAUGGUUCAAUAGUGAAAGAACGGUUUUGCUGUCACUUAUAGAUGGAUCCGCGCCGCAUUAGCUAGUUGGUAAGGUAACGGCUUACCAAGGCGACGAUGCGUAGCCGACCUGAGAUGGGUGAUCGGCCACACUGGAACUGAGACACGGUCCAG